GGUUAAGCGACUAAGCGUACACGGUGGAUGCCCUGGCAGUCAGAGGCGAUGAAGGACGUGCUAAUCUGCGAAAAGCGUCGGUAAGGUGAUAUGAACCGUUAUAGCCGGCGAUGUCCGAAUGGGGAAACCCAGUGUGAUUCGUCACACUAUCGUUAACUGAAUACAUAGGUUAACGAGGCGAACCGGGGGAACUGAAACAUCUAAGUACCCCGAGGAAAAGAAAUCAACCGAGAUUCCCCCAGUAGCGGCGAGCGAACGGGGAGCAGCCCAGAGUCUGAAUCAGCUUGUGUGUUAGUGGAACGGUCUGGAAAGUCCGACGGUACAGGGUGAUAGUCCCGUACACCAAAAUGCACAGGUUGUGAACUCGAAGAGUAGGGCGGGACACGUGGUAUCCUGUCUGAAUAUGGGGGGACCAUCCUCCAAGGCUAAAUACUCCUGACUGACCGAUAGUGAACCAGUACCGUGAGGGAAAGGCGAAAAGAACCCCGGCGAGGGGAGUGAAAAAGAACCUGAAACCGUGUACGUACAAGCAGUGGGAGCACCUUCGGGUGUGACUGCGUACCUUUUGUAUAAUGGGUCAGCGACUUAUAUUCUGUAGCAAGGUUAACCGUAUAGGGGAGCCGCAGGGAAACCGAGUCUUAACUGGGCGUUAAGUUGCAGGGUAUAGACCCGAAACCCGGUGAUCUAGCCAUGGGCAGGUUGAAGGUUGGGUAACACUAACUGGAGGACCGAACCGACUAAUGUUGAAAAAUUAGCGGAUGACUUGUGGCUGGGGGUGAAAGGCCAAUCAAACCGGGAGAUAGCUGGUUCUCCCCGAAAGCUAUUUAGGUAGCGCCUCGUGAAUUCAUCUUCGGGGGUAGAGCACUGUUUCGGCUAGGGGGUCAUCCCGACUUACCAACCCGAUGCAAACUACGAAUACCGAAGAAUGUUAUCACGGGAGACACACGGCGGGUGCUAACGUCCGUCGUGAAGAGGGAAACAACCCAGACCGCCAGCUAAGGUCCCAAAGUCAUGGUUAAGUGGGAAACGAUGUGGGAAGGCACAGACAGCCAGGAUGUUGGCUUAGAAGCAGCCAUCAUUUAAAGAAAGCGUAAUAGCUCACUGGUCGAGUCGGCCUGCGCGGAAGAUGUAACGGGGCUAAACCAUGCACCGAAGCUGCGGCAGCGACACUAUGUGUUGUUGGGUAGGGGAGCGUUCUGUAAGCCUGCGAAGGUGACCUGUGAGGGUUGCUGGAGGUAUCAGAAGUGCGAAUGCUGACAUAAGUAACGAUAAAGCGGGUGAAAAGCCCGCUCGCCGGAAGACCAAGGGUUCCUGUCCAACGUUAAUCGGGGCAGGGUGAGUCGACCCCUAAGGCGAGGCCGAAAGGCGUAGUCGAUGGGAAACAGGUUAAUAUUCCUGUACUUGGUGUUACUGCGAAGGGGGGACGGAGAAGGCUAUGUUAGCCGGGCGACGGUUGUCCCGGUUUAAGCAUGUAGGCUGAUUGUCCAGGCAAAUCCGGAUAAUCAAGGCUGAGGUGUGAUGACGAGGCACUACGGUGCUGAAGUAACAAAUGCCCUGCUUCCAGGAAAAGCCUCUAAGCAUCAGGUAACAUCAAAUCGUACCCCAAACCGACACAGGUGGUCAGGUAGAGAAUACCAAGGCGCUUGAGAGAACUCGGGUGAAGGAACUAGGCAAAAUGGUGCCGUAACUUCGGGAGAAGGCACGCUGGUGUGUAGGUGAAGCCCCUGCGGGUGGAGCUGAGACCAGUCGAAGAUACCAGCUGGCUGCAACUGUUUAUUAAAAACACAGCACUGUGCAAACACGAAAGUGGACGUAUACGGUGUGACGCCUGCCCGGUGCCGGAAGGUUAAUUGAUGGGGUUAUCCGUAAGGAGAAGCUCUUGAUCGAAGCCCCGGUAAACGGCGGCCGUAACUAUAACGGUCCUAAGGUAGCGAAAUUCCUUGUCGGGUAAGUUCCGACCUGCACGAAUGGCGUAAUGAUGGCCAGGCUGUCUCCACCCGAGACUCAGUGAAAUUGAACUCGCUGUGAAGAUGCAGUGUACCCGCGGCAAGACGGAAAGACCCCGUGAACCUUUACUAUAGCUUGACACUGAACAUUGAGCCUUGAUGUGUAGGAUAGGUGGGAGGCUUUGAAGCGUGGACGCCAGUCUGCGUGGAGCCAACCUUGAAAUACCACCCUUUAAUGUUUGAUGUUCUAACGUUGGCCCCUGACCGGGGUUGCGGACAGUGUCUGGUGGGUAGUUUGACUGGGGCGGUCUCCUCCCAAAGCGUAACGGAGGAGCACGAAGGUUAGCUAAUCCUGGUCGGACAUCAGGAGGUUAGUGCAAUGGCAUAAGCUAGCUUGACUGCGAGCGUGACGGCGCGAGCAGGUGCGAAAGCAGGUCAUAGUGAUCCGGUGGUUCUGAAUGGAAGGGCCAUCGCUCAACGGAUAAAAGGUACUCCGGGGAUAACAGGCUGAUACCGCCCAAGAGUUCAUAUCGACGGCGGUGUUUGGCACCUCGAUGUCGGCUCAUCACAUCCUGGGGCUGAAGUAGGUCCCAAGGGUAUGGCUGUUCGCCAUUUAAAGUGGUACGCGAGCUGGGUUUAGAACGUCGUGAGACAGUUCGGUCCCUAUCUGCCGUGGGCGCUGGAGAAUUGAGGGGGGCUGCUCCUAGUACGAGAGGACCGGAGUGGACGCAUCACUGGUGUUCGGGUUGUCAUGCCAAUGGCACUGCCCGGUAGCUAAAUGCGGAAGAGAUAAGUGCUGAAAGCAUCUAAGCACGAAACUUGCCCCGAGAUGAGUUCUCCCUGAGACUUUAAGUCUCCUGAAGGAACGUUGAAGACGACGACGUUGAUAGGCCGGGUGUGUAAGCGCAGCGAUGCGUUGAGCUAACCGGUACUAAUGAACCGUGAGGCUUAACCUU
rnacentral:rRNA from 1 species